rnacentral:misc_RNA from 1 species
GGAAUCAUUUCUCCAUGAAAGAGAUCAUAUUUAACAUUUUUGUUUCACUUCUAGCAGGGUUUCUUUAAACUUAUGAAGAAUGAUAUCAUUCAACUUUGGCUAACAUGUGAACUCAAUUUUAUGAAGAUACACAUACACCUCUUGCUGUGAAAAUUAAAAACCUUGUUCUUUAUCAAUAAUGCCAACUCAAGCCCAUGUCCCUAAUAU